rnacentral:rRNA from 1 species
UACGUAGGGGGCAAGCGUUGUCCGGAUUUAUUGGGCGUAAAGAGCGUGUAGGCGGCCAUGUAGGUCCGUUUGUGAAAACUCGAGGCUCAACCUCGAGACGCCGAUGGAAACCAUGUGGCUAGAGUCCGGAAGAGGAGAGUGGAAUUCCUGGUGUAGCGGUGAAAUGCGCAGAUAUCAGGAGGAACACCAAUGGCGAAGGCAGCUCGCUGGGACGUGACUGACGCUGAGACGCGAAAGCGUGGGGGAGCAAACAGG